CAAUCAUAAGACAUAUGUUGACAAAAAUUGAAAAUUGUUUUUUUUUUUUGUAUAUUCUUUGUUUUCUUUGGAAUUUCCGGAGUCUUGAUCACGGUAGAGGAGGAGUAAAGAAAGUAUCAGCUGAUGUUAUGUAAACAAAGGCACAGCUGAGAGGUGCCACUGUAGAAACGCCAAGUGUAGUCCGGGGUUGAGUUUCUAUUUGAAUCCAAGAUGGCCGACUUUUAACCAAGAUGGCCGACUUUUUACCGGAAAAUGGUUGCAUUGUGUUAUUUUCUUAAAAUUUAUGGAAAAGUUGUCCCAAAAAUAUUGGUUAUAUAUAAAACUUUAAUAUAUUUUCAAAAGAAAAUCGUUUUAUUUUAAUAUAUAUUCUUAAAGAUGAGAACAAUAUGAGCAAAUACAUGAAAAAUUAAGUUUUUUAUUUAUGCCUCUUUUUAACUGUGGUAAGCUAAUGAAUGUUCACCACAGAAAAAUGUUACGAACAAAUAAGCAACCAUGCCAAAUAGUGGGGUCCAGAUUAUGCUCAUUCACAGCCAUAUUUACAUUUUUGCCAUCGUAACGAAGGUUUUUGCAAAGACAAUUUGUUUUAGUUUAUUUCAUGGUUAAAUCCUUUGCGAUGGUUUAUUUAGUUAUUUUAAUCUAUAAAAAGUGUUUACAAUUUUCAUGGGACGAUAAACAUCAGAUCGGCUGCGAUUUUAUUCCAAUAAAAGUACGAAAUAACCAAACAUGGCCACGUUAAUAUUGCUGCGUAAUGGGUCUGGUGCUGUUACAAUUUUAUGAUUUAAGAGAUAGUCAAAUAUAGUUAUCAAAUUAGUUGGCCGUGAAUUCGAGACAAAAUUUUAAAUUCAAUAGCGUUCUCGUGUAAGAGAUCGUAUUGCUAGAAUCAGCAAAGGAGCUGGUGUAGAACGCUAGUCCCAAACCAAUGAGCUUUGUGCUUGAGGGUGGAAGCAACUUUUUGAAGAGCAAAUACUACGGUGAGCACAUUCGGAUGUUGCAUAACCUAUUGUAAAUUGCGCUUAGAAUCCCGGUACUGCUGGUCAGGUUUAUCAGGCUGUUGGGCCAAAGCGUUACCAGUUGAGCGAAUUAAUUGACUGGUUUCAUCGUGUUAUGCGCAAAGAUGAAAAAUGGUGGGGAUACCGUCAUUGAGACAUGUGUUGUGAUCCUACCUUCUUAUUGAAAGCCAAGUUCACGAAUGUAUUACCGAUGUCGUUCCCUCCAACAUACCGUGGUUGAAGAAUUUUGGUGUACAAUCAAUGGAAGAGCAAGUACCAUGAGAAUUAUGACCAUAUUGUGCUGCGCAAUAUUAUGAUGCCGAAUUGGGGAGUGGGGGGAACCAGCUCCACCAAAACCGAUAGAACAUCGGGAUGAACUACGCAAAUAAUAAACAACACUCAUCAAAUGAAAGUUGGCAGCGUUGGUGACUAAGCAGCAAUUUGAAAAAGAAACAUUUGCAUCUACGCGAAUUACAAUUUGUCUUUACAUCUAGUGAAUUAUGGUCGAUUAUGAAUGGUGUGGAAGUUGAUAUUUAAACUUUAAAAAACAAAUAAAUGUAAUUUGGCUAAUAUUGAUAUUUAAACUUUAAAAAACAAAUAAAUGUAAUUUGGCUAAUAAUGAGCCGCUAUUAAAAGUUAAGGAAUUUGAGUUGUAUUUUUAAUUGGGCCAAACAAGUUAUUAUCGAUUUGAAUAACUUCAAAAGGAAUAUAUUUCGAACAAUCAUUUAUUUUUGUAAAUACUAUGGCGGUAUCGCUACUGAGCAUGGCAAAAUAGUGUUGCGUGAGCUAAUUUAAACUACUUUUUACUACUAUAUAGAUAUUGCAAAUUCAAAAAAUAAUUUCUUUAAGAAUCCUUUUUAUUUAAAAACUUAGCUUAGAACUAAAAAAUAGUGUGGUAAAUCUGUUGGGAUAAUCAAACACUCCAUUUGGGAAUGAGUAGGAUUCCUGAUCGCCGGCGUAUAGCUAAAUUCUGACAUUUAAAACGUGUACGUAGUUUGUGAUUACAAAAAUUUAUAAUUAAAAUAUAGAAAACAUGGCUAUUAUAAUUAUCUCUUGAUUUAUCUUACAAUAAAAAAUGUGUUUUACUGUUCAGACGAAUUGUUAU